GAUGAACGCUGGCGGCGUGCCUAAUACAUGCAAGUCGAACGAAGGUAGCAAUACCUUAGUGGCGAACGAGUGAGUAACACGUAGGUAACCUGCCUUUCAGUUGGGGAUAACCGAGGGAAACUUUGGCUAAUACCGAAUUCGUGCUUCGAAGGCAUCUUCGGAGCAUAAAAGGGGCCUUUAAAGCCUCGCUGAUUGAUGGACCUGCGGCGCAUUAGUUAGUUGGUGAGAUAACAGCCCACCAAGACGAGGAUGCGUAGCCGACCUGAGAGGGUGAUCGGCCACACUGGAACUGAGACACGGUCCAGACUCCUACGGGAGGCAGCAGUAGGGAGUUUUCGGCAAUGGGGGAAACCCUGACCGAGCAACGCCGCGUGAGUGAUGAAGGUCUUCGGAUUGUAAAGCUCUGUUAUAAGGGAAGAACGGCAGCUAGAGGAAAUGCUAGCUGUUUGACGGUACUUUAUGAGAAAGCCACGGCUAACUACGUG
rnacentral:rRNA from 1 species